GUUCUUCCUUCGGCAGCACAUAUACUAAAAUUGGAAUGAUGCAGAGAAGAUCAGCUUGGCCCCUGUGCAAGGAUGACUUGCAAAUUUGUGAAGUGUUCCAUGUUUCU